CAGCACAGCCACAUGAUGUUUCAAAAAGUCCAAGUGGAACCUCUUCGGAAAGAUGCCCCACCAUUGGCAGAGGCUGUGACCUUUUUCCUCAGAUUCCCAAUCCUGCUCUGAGUUACUCUAAUGAAAACAACAGAAGAAAUACAAGAAAGAUUCUAACAUAGAAAAAAAUGUUCAACCUCACUGGGUCUGGUUUGGAGGUGAGCACUCAACCCAAACUGAGCCUACCGCAGAACUGUGCUAUCUUGCCCAAGAUGAUUUGUCAAGAAGAGCACAGAUGACUCAUGCUGAGCCUAUCAGGGACCUCUCCUGGGACUUUGUAAGCUGGAACCAAAGGAAAAGGACCUGUUGCUUUCCAGAAGUAAAGAUGGGAAGACGUGAGUCUGUAGGCCAUGGCAGCCAUAUUUCCUGCCAGCUGGACCGCAUUCCGAGAGAAUGAGACGAAGGCAGAGAGAGGGAAGCAGAGGGCAGAAGCUGGAAAACUUUUGAGAGCAUUUUGAAUCCUGGGUCACUGAGGCCAGAAAUAACUCUGAAUUUUCCUUAUGUUUGUUUUAUGAGUCAAUAAAUAUUCCCAUCUUGCCUAAGAUAGUUUGAAUGGUAAAGUCCAGGCACUUGCAAUUCAAACAUUUCCCACUAAUGCACCAUCAUUUCUG
rnacentral:lncRNA from 1 species